rnacentral:sRNA from 1 species
CUGCUGGUGCUCCAGUCCCUUGGUCUAUGAGCCAUUUGAAGCCGCCUGGAAAUGCCACAGAACUGAGUCACCUGGCACAUGUGAUUGAAAGAGGCUGGAAACAUGAACUGUUGCCAACGCAAGUGAAAUCAGGGUUCUGUGACACGGCAAAAGGAGACACCAGCAGUCUGUGAACACUCUUGGUGACACAGUCUUGAUUCUGCAUACAGGACACUGACCAUGGUCACAGUGCUCCACUCUUUAGUGAGGACUUGGGGCAGCCAGAAUACUUCUUUCUAGAAUAAUACUUACACAAAGGGAAGAAAAUCUAAGUCCACACUGAAGAGAUGAGAAUACCAACAUUUACCACAUUAAGUGGAUGGUAAGGUGAUUGGGGAACAUGGGCAAGAGGCACAGUGACCAAAUAUUGCACACAAAGACUUGUCCUAAAAGUGCAUCUGGAUGUAGAGAUGAACUGUCAAAAUAUGCAGGCUCUGAUAAAUGCUGACUUUUUGUCGGUGCUCUUAGGGGAGGUACCUAACAUGGCUUCUGGUGGAAUGUGUGCAUCAGGAUGGACGCUUACUGUGUGGAAACUCGAGUCAGGCAGGCCACAAUGGAAAAGAAACCACUUGAGUGACAGGUGGAGCUCCGCAACAUUGGAGAUGAGAGUUACAGAAAAGUAUCCCUUGGGAAGAGAGCAGACAAAGAGCAAGCAAUGCUAGAUCUCGUGUAUACUGUAGCCCAAAGAGUAAGACUGAACUGGAAGCUAGCAUAAAGCAGAACCCAAGUAUGUCAGAAACUGAUUCACUUUAUCCCAACAUUUGCUGUGAACUGCAGACCUUCGCUCACCUGACUCUUUCUCUGUGAUGUUGCUCUCCCACGUGGGAGAUGGCUCUCCCUUUUGGGCAACUCUCACACUGCUUCGAAGAACCUUAGGGAUGCUACCUCCUUCUCGGAGUCGUUCAACUGAUGUAGGAACCAUCCUGCAAAGGUACCAGAGUGUAAGUUUAAGCCACGGGAAUAGAGGGUCAAGAGUCUGAAACAAACAACCAUGAUAAACAUGGUGCAGCACAGACUCUUAAACCAUCCUCACAUUAUUUUCUUCAGGACCUACUGAAAACAAGGCAUUACCUCUGCUUCAAACGAGGUAAUGUGUACAAGGAGGGGCAGUGAGAAAGCAAUCUGGGAAAAGUAGAAUAAAGAUAUUAACUUCUUUUAAA